rnacentral:rRNA from 1 species
CCCUUAGAUGUUCUGGGCCGCACGCGUGCUACACUGAGUGGAUCAGCGGGUCAGGUUGCGCGAAAGCGUUUCCUAAUCUUUAAAUCCGCUCGUGAUGGGGAUUGACGGUUGCAAUUUUCUGUCAUGAACGAGGAAUUCCUAGUAAGUGCAAGUCAUCAGCUUGCGCUGAUUACGUCCCUGCCCUUUGUACACACCGCCCGUCGCUACUACCGAUUGAAUGGUUUAGUGAGAUCUCUGGAUUGACGCUGGCUAGGGGGCGACCCUUGGCCAGACUGUUGAGAAACUGCUCAAACUUGAUCAUUUAGAGGAAGUAAAAGUCGUAACA